GUAAUCAUACCAGAGAAUUAAUGCAUUGGAUUACAUCAAAACUCCGCAGUUAAGCAUGUUUGGUUGAGAUUAGUACUAGGAUGAGUGAUCCCACGUGAAAUCCUCCUGUGGCACCCU